ensembl:lncRNA
AUUUGACAAUAAAAUCUUUAAAUUUGAAAAAGAGCCAAGAGGAUAUCCACAACGAGAUGGUCACAAGCAGUGGGUUCACUGUAUUGUGCCUGAUCUCUAAGAUCCAACAAACAGAGGAUACCAUCCCCAAAGAACAUUAGAUCCGUAUCACCAGGAUCCCAGAAUUAGAGGACAACAAAACAGUCCUUGAAAACAUCUGCCUGUACUUAAAAAAAAAAAAAAAAAAGACCGGCAGACAGAGAUGGACGAAAUGAGGCGCAAGAUGCAGGACAAGGAGACAAAGAAAUAGGAGAGAGAAGAAAAAGGAGAUAAUCCAGGACGUCAACAUCACCGUGCCUGAGACUGGACACUUGUGAGAACACCUUCCUUCACCUCCCACUCCAUCCUACCUCAUCCAUCUACCCUGAAAAAAAAGAAAUUCUGAAAAAAAAAAAAAAAAGACCGGCAGACGGAGAUGGACGAAAUGAGGCACAAGCUCCAGGACAAGGAGACAAAGACAUAGGAGAGAGAAGAGAAGAAAAAGGAGACUAUCCAGGACGUCAACAUCAACGUGCCUGAGACUAGACACCUGUAAGAACACCUUCCUUCACCUCCCACUCCAUCCUACCUCAUCCAUCUACCCUAAAAAAAUAUUCUGAAAAAAAAAAAAAAAAAAAAGACCGGCAGACGGAGAUGGACGAAAUGAGGCACAAGCUCCAGCGACAAUGAGACAAAGACAUAGGAGAGAGAAGAGAAGAAAAAGGAGACUAUCCAGGACGUCAACAUCAACGUGCCUGAGACUAGACACUUGUAGAACACCUUCCUUCACCUCCCACUCCAUCCUACCUCAUCCAUCUACCUGAAAAAAAAAUUCUGAAAAAAAAAAGAUCUAAAAAACAAAACAAAAAAAACAGGGAUACUCUGGCUGCUUUAAAACCUAACUCGCUUGUCAGGAUUUCACUUGUACUGUACUGUUGAUUUAUAUUACAGAUUUCAUUUAAUUUUUUUACAACCUUCUCAGUUUUGCACAUUUCCCUUAAGUCAUUUCUGCCUUAUUUUUAUUUCAUGUACAUUUAUUUAAAUAUGUUUUUUUAAUUUUUUUUUAUUGGUCGGCUUUAAUUAACUAUACUGUUAAUUUAUAUUGCACACAUUUCAUUUCAUCUUUUCAUUUUUACAAUCUGCUCAGUUUUGCACAUUUCCCCUUACCUCAUUUCUGCCUUAUUUUUAUUUCAUGUACAUUUAUUUAAAUGUUUUUUUUUUUUUAAUUGGUCGGCUUUAAUUAACUGUACUGUUAAUUUAUAUUGCACACAUUUCAUUUCAUCUUUUCAUUUUUACAAUCUGCUCAGUUUUGCACAUUUCCCCUUACCUCAUUUCUGCCUUAUUUUUAUUUCAUGUACAUUUAAGUAAAUAUUGUGCCUGAGACUGGACACGUGGAAGAACACCUUCCUUCACCUCCCACUCCAUCCUACCUUAUCCAUCUCAAAUAACAAAUAAAGGAAAUGUUUACCCCAAUCUGCUGUCUACUGGUUAUCACUAGAUUGUACUUACAGACCAACUUAUUUUACUGUUCACUACAGUGAUUCACUUAUUGAUGACACAUGUAGACAUUAGUAAUUGAAAUAUAUUUAUUAACUUGGACAGUAAAUGUUGAACACAGAUACAUCAACCGAUUUGUAUAGUCCUAUACAAACAAAAAUGUUACAGAAAUAAAGACAUCUAAAUAAUUAAACUAAUGAAUAUUAAAACCAAAUAUAAAGAAUAAAAUGAUAAUAUUUCAAUGUACAAAGUCACAAAUGCAAGAAACCAAUAUAUAAACUAAUUACAACAUGAAUAUUACAAAUAAUUGGACUUAAAAUGCUAGAUGGAACUUUUCUGUGUGGCAUCCAGUUCUAGCUGAAAGAACUUUGUCUUUCGUGCAGCCCUUCUUUUGCCCCGGUUGUUGUUGUUGUUCCUGUUUAUGUUGCUGCUGCUUUUCCAUGAUGUUGGGUACAAUCUUCUCAAUAGAAGCUUGUGUCAGCAUCUGAACAGGUGGAGUUUUUCUGGACUGACGUUUAAAGAGGAACUGGUGUUCAACAAUUUGCUGAGUCCAGAGGAACUGAGCAAAGGAACUGUACUGGGCGGGAUGCCACCGACACACACUCACGGAGGAACCGCCUCAUGCAGUGAAACAAGUCCAGCUUGAUAUUAAUGUUUGCAUUAAAAUGUGAUGGUUGCCAGACGUGACAUUGGCAAUCUGUUGUUCUCCAAGAAUCCCAUUUCAGAUGUUCUCCUGCAGACGACUCUGCCACCUUAAGUGCAACACAGCAAUCCCUGAAAGAAAAAAGAAAAGGAAAGCCAUCGAUGUGACAGCAGUCAUAUAGACCACCAUGUGUGCACCGGUGGAUAUGGUCAUCAAAAUAAAAUUGAAUGCAAAGGGCUUUUCUUUAAUGAAACUGAAAAAAAUGAAAAGUAAUCUAAAUUGUUACUAUGAGCUGUUUGUGUCACCAAUGAUGGUCAAAAAUAUUGAUAUAAUUUACCUGUCUACCCACUGUUAUUGUGCCUUUUCUAUGCCUGCAGCGCUGCAGCGCUGUGCCAGUCCCCAGUACAUGGGCUUCAGGGACUUAAAUUAACUUUAAGUUAAAUUAACUUUUUUUAAAGUAAGAUUAAAACUAGUCGUGAUGCCAAAUAUAUCAUAUAUUAUCCUAAUCAUUGGGCAUUAAUGUGUUUACAUUUGACUGACUUUAAACAAUUCUGGUGGUUUAAUAUAUUACAAGAUCCUCAUUUAUUAGUUGAGUUACAUCUGUGAUAUGCAACUAGUAAUUAAUGCAGUCAAACACACGUGAACACAACUAUAAACUAACAUGUGGCGUGACACCAACAUAAAUUACAUUUAUAGACAUGCUGCAUAUUUAUCUGAAUAAUUAUUACACAUUACAUGUC